UUUGCACAGACAAGUGGAGAAAGAGUCCCAC
rnacentral:piRNA from 1 species